AACGAACGCUGGCGGCAUGCCUAACACAUGCAAGUCGAACGAGACCUUCGGGUCUAGUGGCGCACGGGUGCGUAACACGUGGGAAUCUGCCCUUGGGUUCGGAAUAACAGUUGGAAACGACUGCUAAUACCGGAUGAUGACGUAAGUCCAAAGAUUUAUCGCCCAAGGAUGAGCCCGCGUCGGAUUAGCUAGUUGGUGGGGUAAAGGCCUACCAAGGCGACGAUCCGUAGCUGGUCGAGAGGAUGAUCAGCCACAC
rnacentral:rRNA from 1 species